CUAAGGGCAAUAAUCCGUGCCUUAUUUCCGGUUAUAGGAACGAUAACUCCUACACUUCCGGUUUCGGCGUCAUCAUAAUAAUUUGUCGUGAUCGAUACCUCUCGAUUGUUUUUUAAGCUCCAGUUACGUACAAGAAAAUAGUGCCAAUCCACCACUCUUUAUAGUUCUAAAGUUAUAAGCAGCUGUACUGCAUACUGUAUAAAAACAGUAAUUAACCUACAUGUUGAUGCAGAAGCAGAAGAAGAAUCAUCAACAAUUGACAAUUUAUCUACAUGAGGAAAAGGGGAACUAUCUACAGGGGGACAAAUGGAGCAUGAUGAUGAACCUGAUGGAUGAUCUACACAAACAGACUUAUUUACAAGGGGACAAAAUGAGGAUGAAGAUGGACAGUCAGAGGAUGUGAUGUCUGUCGUCUCUGUCGAAGGUCUUGACUUGUCUUUGUCCGCGCUGUGAUAAGAGUGCUCUUGUCGGAUGAAACUGUUCUUUUGGGACUGUGAUGGGACGUUAAGCUUUCUCUUUAAUAUUUUCUUUGGUCUGCCAGGUUUUACAAAACAAAUGUCACAACUGUCUGAAUGAGGCAAAAAUUCAUGCAAAACAGGUAAAUUAACAAUAAUGUCAUCUUCAGCUUGGCUGUGUCUUGUCAGUCGUAGUCUACACGCGGUGCAAAUUCUAGAAGGAUGAAUAUUGUUAGAGUCACUGUCAAUGUCAAUGUUGUAAAGGGAGGUAAUGGCAGUCUUGAAGUUUUCUUUGGGAUGGGAUUUUGAAUUCACAGGGAUUUUAACACCACAGAGUCUGCACAUACACUGUAACUUUAUUUCAUGCUCCAUUUCUGUAGAAGAAAUGAAAUAAAAUUUCAUAUAA